GAUGACAGAUCAUAAGUUUUGUAUACUGUUUGCACAAGAUCUGACUACAUUUGCAUCAUUAAUAGCAACUUUGUGUGAAAUUCGCCAUCCUUUUAUUUCAGGUGAAAUGUUUGCUGUGUGACAGGGUGUUGGUCUACAACAACACAUCAUCAAUGAUUAGGCAUUACAGGGCCCUACAUGAAAAUAAGUACACUUUAAACACAGGAGACACCAGCCAGAAUUCCAGGAAGCAGGUGCUAGAUGAGGCUGUGGUAAACUUGAUUGUAAAGGAUUCCCAACCCUUUUCAGUAGUGGAGUAUGAGGGGUUCAGGGAGCUCAUUCAUUUGCUGGAUCCAACCUAUGUUCUUCCUACCAGAAAGGUUUAUAUGUGUCAAACAUACCAGCUAAUGUGGUAAAUGGAAAUCAUUUCAGUUA